UUUCCGAAAGUGAAAGUGUUUCUCAGCCUCGACUGCAUUUUGAGGAGCGGUUCGAAAAACACAAAGAUCUUUAACAGCAGCCAGAAGUGGUGAGAUUCAUGUCCAACAACAAGCAGUGCUGAAGAAAAGUGGGAAUUUGAUUAAUUCCAGUAGAAGAGAUCGGCGUCUUCAGGACUCUGCGUGUACACGAGCAUUGAAAAAUGGAGAUCCCUAAACAGGGGCUAGAUCAUGUGACCUCACCCUCAAAAGACUGUAAAGGAAAGAGCAGGAGAUCACACUCCCCAGAACCCAGCUGUGUCUCCAUGAAGAGUGAUCAGUCUAUGGAUUCUCCUGGCAACCUCAGAAAUGAAAACCCCUCACCUGUACACAGAGUGCACAGCACCCUCCGUCCUCCACUCGUGAACCGGCGCUCAUGCAUGCACCACAAACAUGUAUACUGUAAAGUUUAUACAUUGCAGUAGUGUCAAAUGCUCUGUUUUUUAUCCGUUUUCAUACCCCCCUCACCACAGUCCUAUAAACUUUCCCUUUUACUCUUGCAGACACUCUUCUAACAGAUAAUGUCUAAAAUGCUAAAGUAAAAUGCUAAUAUAAGCAACAAAAACCUACAGGAAACAAUAUCUACUACUACUACUACUACUAAUAAUAAUUAAAGCUGCAAGCAGUGUUUUGGGGGCCAAGCACUCUGACUUCUUGAACAGAAUGUUCUGUAGACCCUCCCGAAUCAGUGUACUAAAUUUUUGAAGAUUUUUUUAGAAAAAUGUUUUUCGAAAUUUUCAAAAUGUAUUUUUAGAAAAAAGGUUUUUGUUGAUUGUAAGUAAAAAUGGUGUGUUUAUAAAAAAUGAACCUUGCAGUCCAACAGUAUAGUUCGACAUAAGCCAAUAAUUAAAGCCAUGAUAUGAGACGUAUCUCCAUACAGGCUUCACAAGAUCAAUACUGACAUGUUUCAGGAAACU